UCUGAUUGGCCAAUUUAAAUAAAAUGAUUUUAAUUGAGAUCAAAAUGAAUAUCCAUUUGUUGAGUUAUUUGGCAGUACUCAUGUAAAAAGGAGGGUGAUUCAUUCUCUGAAAACGAAUGAGAGUGUCUUUGUGGUUGUUGUAGGGUGAGACGGGUCCUCAGGGGCCUCCUGGGCCUCCAGGAGAGGAUGGAGAAAGAGGUGAUGAUGGUGAGGUCGGACCCAGAGGUCUGCCCGGAGAAUCGGGUCCUCGUGGUUUGUUGGGCCCCAAAGGUCCCCAAGGGCCUCCAGGACCUCCCGGUGUGACUGGUAUGGACGGACAUCCUGGACCUAA
rnacentral:lncRNA from 1 species